UUGCAUUUCAGGUGACGAUAUGUAACUGGCACACAGUGUUCAGGAAAAUAGCAGUGCGACGUGUUUACAAGUUAAUGAAACUAAAUAAAAAGUUUAGAAUGUUUUUUUUUUUACAUAAUUAAUUCCACAACAAAACCCAUACAAAUCAAAGUUUCAAAUCUCUUCAAGAAAUUUUCAUAUAUUUCUAAAACUUGUUCUUCAGAAUUUUUUAGAAUAGAAUCCAUUAGAAUAGUCCAUUCAAUUUUAGUGCAAGUUUAAAGUGCCUCAAAAUUCGCGUUGAUUUUUGAGAAUUGCAAGUGUUA